AAGAAACCAACAGGGAUUGCCUCAGUAACGGCGAGUGAAGCGGCAACAGCUCAAAUUUGAAAGCUGGCCCCCCCCGGGGGUCCGCGUUGUAAUUUGUAGAGGAUGAUUCGGCGAGGGCUCCCGCCUAAGUCCCCUGGAACGGGGCGUCAUAGAGGGUGAGAAUCCCGUAUGCGGUGGGCUGCCUUAGCCAUGUGAAUCUCCUUCGACGAGUCGAGUUGUUUGGGAAUGCAGCUCUAAAUGGGAGGUAAAUUUCUUCUAAAGCUAAAUACCGGCCAGAGACCGAUAGCGCACAAGUAGAGUGAUCGAAAGAUGAAAAGCACUUUGGAAAGAGAGUUAAAAAGUACGUGAAAUUGUUGAAAGGGAAGCGCUUGCAGCCAGACUUGCCCGCAGUUGCUCAGCCGGUCUCCUGACCGGCGCACUCUUCUGCGGCCAGGCCAGCAUCAGUUCGGGCGGUCGGAUAAAGGCCCCGGGAACGUAGCUCCUCUCGGGGAGUGUUAUAGCCCGGGGUGGAAUGCGGCCAGCCUGGACUGAGGAUCUCGCUUCGGCUAGGAUGCUGGCGUAAUGGCUGUAAGCGGCCCGUCUUGAAAC
rnacentral:rRNA from 1 species